AGCCAUGCAUGUCUAAGCACAUGCCUUAAUACGGUGAAGCCGCGAAUAGCUCAUUACAACAGCCAUCGUUUACUAGAAAAUAGUUUCCUACUUGGAUAACUGUGGCAAUUCUAGAGCUAAUACAUGCGAAAAAGCUCAGACUGAAAGGAAUGAGCGCAUUUAUUAGAAUAAAAACCAAUCGGGUCUAAAAGCCCGCUGUUUGGUGAAUCUGAAUAACUUUGCUGAUCGCACGGUCUAGUACCGGCGACGUAUCUUUCAAGUGUCUGCCUUAUCAACUUUCGAUGGUAGGUUAUACGCCUACCAUGGUAGUAACGGGUAACGGAGAAUAAGGGUUCGACUCCGGAGAGGGAGCCUGAGAAACGGCUACCACAUCCAAGGAAGGCAGCAGGCGCGCAAAUUACCCACUUCCAGAACGGAGAGGUAGUGACGAAAAAUAACGAGACAGUCCUCUCUGAGGUCUGUCAUCGGAAUGGGUACAAUUUAAAUCCUUUAACGAGGAUCUAUUGGAGGGCAAGUCUGGUGCCAGCAGCCGCGGUAAUUCCAGCUCCAAUAGCGUAUAUUAAAGUUGUUGCGGUUAAAACGCUCGUAGUUGAAUCUGCGGCCUGGGAGAAUGGACCCCCGAAAGGGUGGUAACUGUUACUCCUAGCCUAAAUUUUUAGUCUACUCUACGGUGCCUUUAACCGGGUGCUUAGAGUGACUGGAACGUUUACUUUGAAAAAAUUAGAGUGCUUAAAGCAGGCGAAUUUGCCUGAAUAAGGUGCAUGGAAUAAUGGAAUAGGACCUCGGUUCUAUUUUGUUGGUUUUCGGAGCCUGAGGUAAUGAU
rnacentral:rRNA from 1 species